UACGUAGGGAGCAAGCGUUGUCCGGAAUCAUUGGGCGUAAAGCGCGCGUAGGCGGCCCGAUAAGUCCGCUGUAAAAGUCAACGGCUCAACUGUUGAAAGCCGGUGGAUACUGUCGGGCUAGAGUACGGAAGAGGCAAGUGGAAUUCCUGGUGUAGCGGUGGAAUGCGCAGAUAUCAGGAGGAACACCGAUGGCGAAGGCAGCCCCCUGGGAUGUGACUGACGCUCAUGUACGAAAGCGUGGGGAGCAAACAGG
rnacentral:rRNA from 1 species